UUUAGCUUCAGUUUGUGUGCUACUGCGGCGCCUUGGCGAUCUCAAUCUAGCUCUGCUCUUCGGAGACUCCGGCACAAGAGCUAGCAGCCCCCGCAGAAGUGCAGAUCAAUUCCUGCCUCAGAUGCCGAUGAGUGAGCUGAUUACGAUGUAGUAGAAUUGAUCGGACGUUUCCUCUCCAGCCAGGGAAAGUAUUUAAAUUGUUGGCUGGAGAUAGUUGCUAAUAAAGCUAGAUGGUGCAUGGAGAGGGGUCUGUUCCUUCCAAUGAACUGUCGAUUUGUCAGUUAGCUGAGCGGCAUCUAUAUGAGCCUAAUACUAGUGAAGAGGUCAACCCAGUGAUCAGACAGCAGGUGCUCGCACAUGCGGAUUUGACGCGCCAUCCUCGUGGUUGGAAUGUGGGGUCUACUCUUAGUGACUAUUCUUUUCAUCCAUUAGCACCUUAUCCUAAACCCGAUCAUGAAGCCUACACCCUAGGGACCAGGAUGGUAGCAAAAGGUCUAGGUUGGGAUGGUCACACAACCGAGUAUGUUCCGCAAUCCAAAGACUAUGUUGAGUGAGGCAUCUCUAUAUUGAAUAACCACUCUUUUUUGUUUGAAAGGCGAAGCGGAGAACACCGAUUAUAUAUAUGGGGCCAUUUAUUGCUCCCUCGGUGAAUAUGAAGUUUCAGAUUCGUUACUGAGGUCACUACUGGAAAGAUGGGAUCCAGAAACAAAUACUUUUCUUUUUUCAUCUGGUGAAUGCACCGUGACUCUGC